GACGAACGCUGGCGGCGUGCUUAACACAUGCAAGUCGAACGGAAAGGCCCUGCUUUUGUGGGGUGCUCGAGUGGCGAACGGGUGAGUAACACGUGAGUAACCUGCCCUUGACUUUGGGAUAACUUCAGGAAAAUGGGGCGAAUACCGGAUAGGAGCUCCUGCUGCAUGGGGGGGGUUGGAAAGUUUCGGCGGUUGGGGAUGGACUCGCGGCUUAUCAGCUUGUUGGUGGGGUAGGGGCUUACCAAGGCUUUGACGGGUAGCCGGCCUGAGAGGGUGACCGGCCACAUUGGGACUGAGAUACGGCCCAGACUCCUACGGGAGGCAGCAGUGGGGAAUAUUGCACAAUGGGCGGAAGCCUGAUGCAGCAACGCCGCGUGCGGGAUGACGGCCUUCGGGUUGUAAACCGCUUUCGCCUGUGACGAAGCGUGAGUGACGGUAAUGGGUAAAGAAGCACCGGCUAACUACGUG
rnacentral:rRNA from 1 species